rnacentral:rRNA from 1 species
GGGGAAUAUUGGACAAUGGGCGAAAGCCUGAUCCAGCCAUGCCGCGUGUGUGAAGAAGGUCUUCGGAUUGUAAAGCACUUUAAGUUGGGAGGAAGGGCAGUAAGUUAAUACCUUGCUGUUUUGACGUUACCCACAGAAUAAGCACCGGCCAACUUCGUGCCAGCAGCCGCGGUAAUACGAAGGGUGCAAGCGUUAAUCGGAAUUACUGGGCGUAAAGCGCGCGUAGGUGGUUUGGUAAGAUGGAUGUGAAAUCCCCGGGCUCAACCUGGGAACUGCAUCCAUAACUGCCUGACUAGAGUACGGUAGAGGGUGGUGGAAUUUCCUGUGUAGCGGUGAAAUGCGUAGAGAUCAGGAGGAACAUCCAUGGCGAAGGCAGCUACCUGGACCAACACUGACACUGAGGCACGAAAGCGUGGGGAGCAAACA